rnacentral:lncRNA from 1 species
GUCUUGAGAAAUGGUUCAUUCUCGCUGAAGCAUUACUCGUCAAGUACGUUUUUGAUAAAACGUCUCUUAUGUUAGAAUCCAACGUUUUAAAAUCCUGUAUGUUCUUUCUGUUGCCUUUCAUCCAUAAUACACAUCCAUCCGGAUACUGUUUAAAUAAGUAAUCCCCUCUAAAAUAACUUCCACUGGAGUGAGCACGAUUCUGCGAGGCAGUUACUGUCCAGGAUUAUGUGGGGGCCGUUCACCACGUUUUGUUGGCAGUUUACAGUCCUCUAUGGGUAAAGACUCUUUAAACUGUUGUCUUACACGGACGAACCAAGCGACCAGUCGAUUCAGAUCAAGUCUUUCAAUCAGUCUGGGGUGGAAUGAAACCAGACGCCCUCCUGGGUCAGGAGGAUCUGAAGAUCUGUAGUCUAGAGCAGUUCUUCCCAACCUGUGCCACGGCCUGCAGCAGGAUCAGGUGUAAAACACACCGAUCGGGACUGUGUGUCGACCCCCUGAGCCUGCUAUUGAAGUGAGAGCCUGUUUCAGUGCAUGAAAAGUGAAAUCAAACAUUUCUUGUGGAACUGGUAGUCAGUUCCUGUUACAGAUACUGGAAGUGUCGAUGUGUUUGCAGUACUGGUGCUGGGGAUUUGAAGUUGUCGGGUGUGCCGCAGGAGGUUAAGAGCCGAGGGGGUUUGGAAAGCGCUGGGGGAGAGCACGGCUCCGUGUGCUCUGGGGCGGCUUCGCGCAGCGGGAUGCUGUGGGACGUGGCGCAAACACCUUGCCACGUCCUCCCGUUAGGUGCUCCUGUCGUCCUGCAGGGCUGGCACUGCUGGCAGGCGAUCUCCCCGCUCCGGGCGUGAGGGAUGAGGGGUUCGGAGCUGCUGGCAGUGGCACAUGACUCUUGCAGCGGCCAGCGUAUGGACCUGAGUGCAGUUCAUGUGCGACCCCUGGAGAGGCUGGGGGCACCUGGGGCGCUGGAUGAACAGAGAUCAGUGCGCUUCAGUGGGGAUGGCGGAUGGCAUCUGGGUCCCCAAGGCCACCACAAGGUACAGACCUCAGGCACAGCAGAAAAGAGAUGCACGCACCCACGGCUUCCUUUAAAGAAUGUUAG